rnacentral:tRNA from 1 species
AUUAUGAGACAGGUUCCCCUGAGAGGUCUAAAACACCGCCAAGCUCUUUGAGUUUUAAACUU